rnacentral:misc_RNA from 1 species
GAAAUGCGAUAAGUAAUGUGAAUUGCAGAAUUCCGUGAAUCAUCGAAUCUUUGAACGCACAUUGCGCCCCCUGGCAUUCCGGGGGGCAUGCCUGUCCGAGCGUCAUUUGCACCCCUCAAGCGCGGCUUGCGUGUUGGGCCAUCGUCCCGGCCCCGAAAUCUAGUGGCGGUCUCGCUGCAGCCUCCAUUGCGUAGUAGCUAACACCUCGCAACUGGAACGCGGCGCGGCCAAGCCGUUAAACCCCCAACUUCUGAAUGUUGACCUCGGAUCAGGUAGGAAUACCCGCUGAACUUAAGC